rnacentral:rRNA from 1 species
CCUACGGGUGGCAGCAGUGGGGAAUAUUGCGCAAUGGAGGAAACUCUGACGCAGCGACGCCGCGUGGGUGAUGAAGGCCUUCGGGUUGUAAAGCCCUGUCGGUUGGGAAAAAGGUAGUCGUGUUAAUACCACGAUUGCUUGAUGGUACCAGCAAAGGAAGUAGCGGCUAACUCUGUGCCAGCAGCCGCGGUAAUACAGAGGCUACAAGCGUUGUUCGGAAUUACUGGGCGUAAAGGGCGCGUAGGCGGUCUUCUAAGUCAGAUGUGAAAGCCUGGGGCUUAACCCCAGAAGUGCAUUUGAAACUGGAAGGCUAGAGUGCAGUAGAGAAUGGCGGAAUUCCCAGUGGAGAGGUGAAAUUCGUAGAUAUUGGGAGGAACACCGGUGGCGAAGGCGGCCAUUUGGGCUGUAACUGACGCUGAGGCGCGAAAGCGUGGGUAGCAAACAGGAUUAGAUACCCUUGUAGUC